CCUACGUGCUGCUGCAGUGAGGAAUAUUGGUCAAUGGUCGGGAGACUGAACCAGCCAAGCCGCGUGAGGGAUGAAGGUCCAGAGUAUCGUAAACCUCUUUUGUCAGGGAACAAAGGCGGGGACGUGACCCCGGAUGAGUGUACCUGAAGAAAAAGCAUCGGCUAACUCCGUGCGAGCAGCCGCGGUAAUACGGGGGAUGCGAGCGUUAUCCGGAUUUAUGGGGUUGAAAGGGUGAGCAGGCGGUCUUGUAAGUCAGCGGUCAAAGCCCGGGGCUCAACCCCGGCCCGCCGUUGAAACUGGCAGUCUCGAGUUGGAGAGAAGUAUGCGGAAUGCGCGGUGUAGCGGUGAAAUGCAUAGAUAUCGCGCAGAACUCCGAUUGCGAAGGCAGCAUGCCGGCUCCAAACUGACGCUGAGGCACGAAAGCGUGGGUAUCGAACAGGAUUAGAUACCCUUGUAGUC
rnacentral:rRNA from 1 species